CCCCCUAGUCCUAUUGCAUUCAAACUCACUGUGUAGACCAGUGAGGCCCUGAACUUUCAGCAAUCCUACUGCCUCUGCCUCCAAGCUGCUGGGAUUACAUGUAUGUUCAACUACCCUGAAUGCAAGUUGCAUCAUCUGAACAUCUAUGGACUGCAGCCUCGAGAGCCAAGCUGGGAACUUCCCUUUGUUUCCCAAGACCUGUUUUAUGCCUUCUAAGAGCAGCUCCCACUGCAGAAGAGGGAGUUUGGACAUCAUAGUGUCCAGGUCAUGCAAGACCCACACUGACUGCUAUUUUCUCCAGCCAUUGGAAAUAAAUCAAAGUAAAGAGUAUCACCCAGGCAGUGGUAGUGCUACCCUUUAAUCCCAGCACUUGGGGAACAGAGAAGGUGGAUCCCUGUGAGUUUGAGGCCAGCCUGGUCUACAGAGUGAGUGCCAGGACAGGCUCCAAAGCUACACAGAGAAAUCCUGUAUCGAAAAACAAAAGAGGCCAGGCAGUGGUGGAGCACACCUUUAAUCCCAGCACUUGGGAGGCAGAGGCAGUCUCUGUGAAUUCGAGACCAGCCUGGCCUACAAGAGCUAGUUCCAGGACAGCCUCCAAAGCCACAAAGAAACCCUGUCUCGAAAAACCAAAAAAAAGAAAAAGAAAAAAGAAUCUCAGAGAAAUUGCUCAUCAACUAAGGGCUGACUUACUGGUCAUUUUUGAUUAUUAAUGUUAUGAGUUUUCAGAACCAAGCAACUCCAUUUCAGUUGGUAGGCUUGUCAUGUCCAGUAGAGUGAACAGCAGAUUGACGCUACUGGUCACAAGAUGGGGGGGGGGACGACGACACACGACACGAGAGUGCUGGUGACAACAAAGUGGGCAGCAGGACACGGUAUACAUGGCCCCAUGGCUAUAGUAGCUCUGAUUGCUAUAGGAUGGUGCUGGGCAUGGAGAAGAUUCCUGUAAAUCAAAACCACUGCUAAUUAUACACAUCACAGAAGCUGACUGCUCACCAACUGGCACUUCCUACAGCCUAUAUCACCUUUCUCACGGAAGGAGGCCUGUCUGGAGAUGGCCAAGAAGCCAGAAACCUGGGAACUCUUGGGAGUCAUGCAUAGAGGGGAGAUGGUGGGGAGGGGCCCUGCAUGUGCCUGGCUUCUGGGUGGAAGAGGCCAGGCCUUGGAACACCACACCACAGGAACAGGUUGUGGCAAGAUAGGGAAGAUCUAGUUAGACUUGGGACCUAAGCAACACAUCAUGCACAUUAUUAGGCCACCCUAAGUUAACCUGCAUGGGAGGAGCCAGAGCAAAGUCCUAGUUGUUGGCAGUGUGCUUGCACACUUGGCACUCAGGGUCUGAGUUCAUACACCUUCCGGCCUAGGACAAACCUAGAGUUGUAAGUUUCUUGGCCCAAUGUGAGCUUCAGAAGCCCCUGUUCGAUAAACAGAAUAAAAUUUUUAAGGGUUGACUGUUUGGCUGGUCCUGGUUUUGUCUGUAAGGCUCCAAAACUUGGGAAAAGGGCCUCACCCAGCUCAGGCCUUACUGACUGCUGGCAUGAGAACAGUUCUGGGAGAGGCUUGGGUCAACAAUUUGGCUGCCAACUGCAAGGGGCUAC
rnacentral:lncRNA from 1 species